GUAGGUGGCAAGCGUUGUCCGGAAUUAUUGGGGCGUAAAGCGCGCGCAGGCGGUUCGUUUAAGUCUGAUGUGAAAGCCCGCGGGCUCAACCGUGGAGGGUCAUUGGAAACUGGAGAACUUGAGUACAGAAGAGGAAAGCGGAAUUCCACGUGUAGCGGUGAAAUGCGUAGAGAUGUGGAGGAACACCAGUGGCGAAGGCGGCGUUUCUGGUCUGUAACUGACGCUGAGGCGCGAAAGCGUGGGGAGCAGACAGGAUUAGAUACCCUGGUAGUCCACGCCGUAAACGAUGAGUGCUAAGUGUUAGGGGGUUUCCGCCCCUUAGUGCUGCAGCUAACGCAUUAAGCACUCCGCCUGGGGAGUACGGCCGCAAAGGCUGA
rnacentral:rRNA from 1 species